UGGGGAAUAUUGGGCAAUGGGCGCAAGCCUGACCCAGCAACGCCGCGUGAGGGAAGAAGGCCUUCGGGUUGUAAACCUCUGUCCUAUGGGAAGAAGAAAGUGACGGUACCAUAGGAGGAAGCUCCGGCUAACUACGUGCCAGCAGCCGCGGUAAUACGUAGGGAGCAAGCGUUGUCCGGAAUUACUGGGCGUAAAGGGUGCGUAGGCGGUUGUUUAAGUCAGAUGUGAAAUACCCGGGCUUAACUCGGGGGCUGCAUCUGAUACUGGAUAACUAGAGUGCAGGAGAGGAAAGUGGAAUUCCUAGUGUAGCGGUGGAAUGCGUAGAUAUUAGGAGGAACACCAGUGGCGAAGGCGACUUUCUGGACUGUAACUGACGCUGAGGCACGAAAGUAUGGGUAGCAAACAGGAUUAGAUACCCUGGUAGUCCAUACUGUAAACGAUGAAUACUAGGUGUGGGGGACAAUAGUCUUCCGUGCCGCAGCCAACGCAAUAAGUAUUCCGCCUGGGGAGUACGGUCGCAAGACUGAAACUCAAAGGAAUUGACGGGGGCCCGCACAAGCAGCGGAGCAUGUGGUUUAAUUCGAAGCAACGCGAAGAACCUUACCAAGGCUUGACAUCCCGGUGACCGGCAUAGAGAUAUGCCUUCUCUUCGGAGCACCGGUGACAGGUGGUGCAUGGUUGUCGUCAGCUCGUGUCGUGAGAUGUUGGGUUAAGUCCCGCAACGAGCGCAACCCUUGUUACUAGUUGCCAGCAUUUCGGAUGGGAACUCUAGUGAGACCGCCGGGGAUAACUCGGAGGAAGGUGGGGAUGACGUCAAAUCAUCAUGCCCUUUAUGUCUUGGGCUACACACGUGCUACAAUGGUCGGUACAAAGAGCGGCGAGCUCGUAAGAGUAAGCGAAUCUCAUAAAGCCGGUCUCAGUUCAGAUUGUGGGCUGCAACCCGCCCACAUGAAGUCGGAGUUGCUAGUAAUCGCGGAUCAGCAUGCCGCGGUGAAUGCGUUCCC
rnacentral:rRNA from 1 species